UACGGGGGGGCAAGCGUUGUUCGGAAUUACUGGGCGUAAAGGGCUCAUAGGCGGCCAACUAAGUCAGACGUGAAAUCCCUCAGCUUAACUGGGGAACUGCGUCUGAUACUGGAUGCUGGAUCCGGAAGAGGGAUGCGGAAUUCCAGGUGUAGCGGUGAAAAAUGCGUAGAUAUCUGGAGGAACACCGGUGGCGAAGGCGGCAUCCUGGGGGCCGGUAUUGACGCUGAGGAGCGGAAGCCAGGGGGAGCAAACGGGGGG
rnacentral:rRNA from 1 species